rnacentral:rRNA from 1 species
CGGGUGAGUAAUACAUCGGAACGUGCCCAGUAGUGGGGAUAACCCGGCGAAAGCCGGACUAAUACCGCAUACGACCUACGGGUGAAAGCAGGGGAUCGCAAGACCUUGCGCUAUCGGAGCGGCCGAUGUCAGAUUAGCUUGUUGGUGGGGUAAAAGCCCACCAAGGCGACGAUCUGUAGCUGGUCUGAGAGGACGACCAGCCACACUGGGACUGAGACACGGCCCAG